AUUGAACGCUGGCGGCAUGCCUUACACAUGCAAGUCGAACGGUAACAGGUCUUCGGAUGCCGACGAGUGGCGAACGGGUGAGUAAUACAUCGGAACGUGCCUAGUAGUGGGGGAUAACUACUCGAAAGAGUGGCUAAUACCGCAUGAGAUCUACGGAUGAAAGCAGGGGAUCGCAAGACCUUGUGCUACUAGAGCGGCCGAUGGCAGAUUAGGUCGUUGGUGGGAUAAAAGCUUACCAAGCCGACGAUCUGUAGCUGGUCUGAGAGGACGAUCAGCCACACUGGUACUGAGACACGGCCCAGACUCCUACGGGAGGCAGCAGUGGGGAAUUUUGGACAAUGGGCGCAAGCCUGAUCCAGCAAUGCCGCGUGCAGGAUGAAGGCCUUCGGGUUGUAAACUGCUUUUGUACGGAACGAAAAGCCCUGGGUUAAUACCCUGGGGUCAUGACGGUACCGUAAGAAUAAGCACCGGCUAACUACGUGCCAGCCGCCGCCGUAA
rnacentral:rRNA from 1 species